GACGAACGCUGGCGGCGUGCCUAACACAUGCAAGUCGAACGGAAGUUAGAGCUUCGGUUUUAACUUUAGUGGCGAACGGGUGAGUAACGCGUGAGAAACCUGCCUUUCAGUGGGGGACAGCAGUUGGAAACGACUGCUAAUACCGCAUAAUGUUAUUUGGGGGCAUCCCCGAAUAACCAAAGAUUUAUUGCUGAAAGAUGGUCUCGCGUCUGAUUAGCUAGUUGGUGAGGUAACGGCUCACCAAGGCGACGAUCAGUAGCCGGUCUGAGAGGAUGAACGGCCACAUUGGGACUGAGAUACGGCCCAGACUCCUACGGGAGGCAGCAGUCGGGAAUAUUGCGCAAUGGAGGAAACUCUGACGCAGUGACGCCGCGUAUAGGAAGAAGGUUUUCGGAUUGUAAACUAUUGUAGACAGGGAAGAUACAAGACAGUACCUGUAAAGUAAGCCCCGGCUAACUAUGUG
rnacentral:rRNA from 1 species